UAUCUAACCCUUCACCCCAAUAACACACAUCCCCAAAGCCACAUUCAGACUCUCCCUCACUCCUUCCCUGGAUAAACUGCUCUCUUACUGCUGUGUGGCAAUUAUUUCCUAAUAUAGAGGUCACUUGCCACGGCCCAGGCUCUUGAGGAUAUAUUUGAUUUGCUUUUUGUUGCUUCACAUCAGCUAACAUAGCACCCAGCACAUCCAAGCUGGGACUGCCCUCCCUGCCCUUCAGAAAGCAGUUGGCAGUUCAUUUCAGAGUGUUGAGGAAUCUGGGAGGAUAAUUGGUGAGACAAAUCAAAAAGCCACAUGACAAUAACCAAGCAGCUAAGGGCCUGGAGCACAUUCGAGACUAUCAAUUUCUUCAUUUUCAGUAAGAAAGUUAAUUCUACAAAGCCAAUGUGAUCUCUGCUUUCUGGAUAGAAAAACUGGCUGAUCAAGAUACAGGGAGCCCUCCCCGCAUCUUCUCUCUCCAGAAAGCCCACCAGUGACUUUCAGCAUCUAACUAGGGUCUGAUAACCUGGCUCCCCCCACUGGCAUUUUUGAUGGAAAUUUUACAUAUGUGUUGAGGGUCUUUCAGUUUCAAUAAUUUCUAAUAGAAUUUAUCCAGGGAUGCCACCUAUUGAGUUCCUAUUUUGUGCCAUGAUCCAUGCUAGUGAUUAAUAGAUACCAUCAAAAGUAUUACAUGAAGUGGGUAUUAUUACUUUCGUUUACUUAUUUUUGGUUUGUUUGAGACAGGUCUCUCUA